GCGUGAGUAGCGCAAUGGGAGAGCACGCGCUCUGGAAUAGUGUGAAAUGUGGGUUCGAGUCCCCCCUAAUGCA